GAUGAACGCUGGCGGCGUGCCUAAUACAUGCAAGUCGAGCGAACGGACGAGAAGCUUGCUUCUCUGAUGUUAGCGGCGGACGGGUGAGUAACACGUGGAUAACCUACCUAUAAGACUGGGAUAACUUCGGGAAAACGGAGCUAAUACCGGAUAAUAUUUUGAACCGCAUGGUUCAAAAGUGAAAGACGGUCUUGCUGUCACUUAUAGAUGGAUCCGCGCUGCAUUAGCUAGUUGGUAAGGUAACGGCUUACCAAGGCAACGAUGCAUAGCCGACCUGAGAGGGUGAUCGGCCACACUGGAACUGAGACACGGUCCAGACUCCUACGGGAGGCAGCAGUAGGGAAUCUUGCGCAAUGGGCGAAAGCCUGACGGAGCAACGCCGCGUGAGUGAUGAAGGUCUUCGGAUCGUAAAACUCUGUUAUUAGGGAAGAACAUAUGUGUAAGUAUCUGUGCACAUCUUGACGGUACCUAAUCAGAAAGCCGCGGCUAACUACGUG
rnacentral:rRNA from 1 species